rnacentral:lncRNA from 1 species
GAACUAAACUUAAUGCUUUUGAAUUGAUCAAUGACAUGUUUUAGCAUAUCUCAUGCAUCAUGAUUAUGCAAUAAGUUGAAUGCAUUAGUAUCCACGAAUAUGUUGCAUUGCAUUGUUAUUUGUUGAUGUGGGUAAAUGCUGAAUGAUCCCAUAGUCACAGACAGGAAGACCAGGAGCCUUUGACUACGCCCUGGCAAGUAUAGUGAAGUCCAGGAGCCUUUGACUACGCCCUGGCAGGUAUAUAGUAAAGUCCAGGAGCCUUUGACUACGCCCUGGCAAUGGUAAGUACAAUGGUGUUAUAUACACAUAUACAUAUAUGACAGGAAGUCCAGGAGCCUUUGACUACGCCCUGGCACAGAGUUACUGAGACUAUGUGGUGACAGGUUUACUCUUGAUGUGAAAUGUUUGUGUUAUGACGCAUUCCAUGAGAGCAUCUGUUAAUGAUUUGUUUUACCGUUCUACUCACUGGGCUAUAGAGCUCAUCCCACUCCCUUCAUCCCAGUUUUGUAGGUUCAGUGUACAGUGUACAGGGCAAGUGAGCAGAACACAGAAAAAGGAAAGAGAAAUGUAAUAGUGUAGAGUGGGCAUGUAUUAUUUCUGUUAUAGUUCCAGAUGUGCUUGACUUAGUACUUCGUAGUUUGUGUGGUAAAUCCAUGGUUAUGUACAUGAUCUGUAUAUGUAUAUGCUUUAUUGUAUGUGAAAACCAGGCUUAACAGGUAUGAAUGAACCCAUCUAGAGCAAGCUCUAGUCAGGGGUACAGAGUACAGAGUACAGAGAUAAUGCAUGCACAGGUUAAGCCUUGGGUCAGUAAAGAGUUUUUAUUGUCACAGUAAAUGUAUGAUCAUGUAUGAGAUUUACACAGAGAGUAUAGCAGGCUUGCUACGGGUUCUGACGGCCUUAAGCCGACCUGAAUCCUAGCGCCGGUGACGGUCCAUUUUGGGGUCGUUACAGAUUGGUAUCAGAGCUCUAGGUUCACAUGAUCGGACCUAUAGAGAUAGUGUCGGGCUCAUAGAGAUUAGAGUGGUCAAGCACAAUAGGAAAUCAUGUCCACUAGGAUAGGGUGAUGAGUCCUAUCUCGUAUUGCUAUGAGAUGCCAUGAGUUGUGCAUGUGUCUUAUUGUUAUGUGUUGUGAUGUUUAUGUGCUAAAGUGCUAUGUUAUGUGUUUUCAGAACGUAAAGAUGAGAGGAACUCGUCGAUCAGCUCGAUUGACUGGAGUCCCACCAGAGAGUGAGAGACCAGCUGCUCGUCCUCCUGCAUUGCCGAGGGCAAGGUCUCAGAGAUCUAGCAGGGAAGGUACGUCAAUAGACCCUAGAAGGUCUGUGGACGAGAGCAAAAGAGGUACAGCGAGAGGAGGAAGAUCAGAGGAAGCUAUGGAGAUUGAUCAGUCGAGGGAUGACAGCAUGGGUAUAGGCAGAUUUGAGGAAGGUAUGGGAGAGUCGCAGGGAGGCGCUCAGACGUCAGGUUUUGGCUACCCAGAGUAUCCGAUGGGAGGUAUGUCGGAGUACUCUAGUUUUGUCCCAUAUCCUCCUUACAUGCCCUAUAUGCCUUAUCCUCCUUAUUACCCAUCAUAUCCUAUGUAUCCAUCUUCCCCUACUCAUCCAAGUACAGCACACCCAGAGCCAAAUGAACCAGUACCACCACCAGAACCAGUAGCCCCUGUUGUUGACAGACAUCAACCUAGCUCAUCUGGAGGUAAGGUACAAAUGAUGGAGUACUUGAAAUUGGAUGCUCCUAAAUACAACACGGGAGAUGAUCCAUUUGAAUACCUCAGAUCAGUUAGGAUGAUAACCAGUGAGUUGGGAGCUGAUGAUAGUCGGGCCAUUGAGAUGGUAGGUUUCACAUUAAAAUGCAAGAAGGCUAGAGAAUGGUUCAAGAAUUAUGUGGAACCCAGAAUGGACAAUAUGUCUUGGGGAGAGUUCGCCAAUGAAUUUGCAGGGUGGGCUUUUCCUGAUAGCUCCAGGGAGAUGAAAGUAAUAGAGUUUGAACAGUUGCGACAGACAGAUGAGAUGAGUGUGGAUGAAUUCACGGAUAAGUUCCUGGAUUUGCUUCAGUAUGUGGGUCAAGCCUAUGAUACUGACCAGAAGAAGGCAAGGAGAUAUACUAUGAGACUGCAUCCCAGGUAUUCUUCCUUGAUUCUUCCAGUAGAAAAGGAGAGUUUUCAUACAAUAGUAGACGCAGCCAGGAAAAUGGAAGCAAGUGCCAAUAUUCAGAAACAGUCAAAGGCACAGGCUUCGGGUUCUAAGGCCCCUAGUUCAGCAGCCGCAGGCAGCAAGAGAUGGGAUAGAGCAAAAGGAACAAAGAGUAAGUUCUGGAGUAAAGUGAAGUCAGGUCUGGGAAUAGGUAGUGGCUCUAGCUCUGGCACAGCUCCAGUCUGCAGAAGAUGCGGAAAACCACAUGGCGGAGUUUGUCGGUUGGGAUCUACAGCAUGUUUUAAAUGUGGACAGGAAGGACAUAUUGCUCGGGAUUGUCCUCAGAUGACUUUUGCACCAUCCCAGCAGAUGAGUUCAGGCAGUGUGGUACAGCCAGUUGUUCGGCCAGCAGCGCCAGGCAUGCCUCAGAGUAGUGGCAGAGGUAGAGGAAGAGGGGCAGCCUCUACUUCAGCAGCAGGUUCCCGAGGUGGAAAUCCGGUAGCCCCAGCACGGAUUUUCACUGUGACACAGGAGGAGGCUAACACGUCGAACGCAGUGGUGUCAGGUAAUCUCAUCAUUGGGUGUUCAGAUGUGUAUGCUUUGAUGGACCCCGGUGCUUCUCAUUCCUUUAUUGCUUCAAAAGCCAUAGAGAGAUUGGGUUUGAUCAGUUCUGAGUUAGAGUAUCCUCUCUGGGUCAGUGGACCUAAAUGUGACCCAUCAGUGGCAGUGUCAGUCUGUCGUUUCAGUCCAGUAUUUAUAGAGGGUAGAUACCUUCCAGCUGACCUUGUGGUUCUAGAUUUGACGGAUUUUGAUGUCAUUCUAGGGAUGGAUUGGUUAUCUACAUAUAGUGCUACUUUGGAUUGUAGAGAGAAGCGAGUGAGUCUCAGAGACCAGGAUGGGUCAGAGUGUGUCUUCAGAGGAGAUAGGAGAGGUACACCCAGAGGUAUGAUUUCAGCCCUUCAAGCUCGUCGUUUGCUUAGGAGGGGUUGUCAGGGGUUUCUAGCUCAUGUGAGAGAGCUAGACAGUCAGGUGAGGGAACCAGCCGCAGUACCAGUAGUCCGAGAGUUUCUCGAUGUGUUCCCAGACGAUUUACCAGGACUACCACCUGAUAGGGAGAUAGGGUUUGAAAUUGAAUUGCUGCCAGGUACCAGACCUAUCUCUAUUCCUCCCUACAGGAUGGCGCCAGCAGAGUUAAAAGAGUUGAAAGAGCAGUUGCAGGACUUGGUAGAUAAAGGGUUCAUCCGUCCUAGUACCUCACCUUGGGGUGCUCCAGUGCUCUUCGUCAGAAAGAAGGAUGGAUCCCUCAGACUUUGUAUUGACUACAGACAGUUGAACAAGGUCACUACCAAGAAUAGGUAUCCUUUACCUCGGAUUGACGAUCUGUUUGACCAGCUAGCUGGAGCAGGUUGUUUCUCGAAAAUAGAUCUGAGAUCCGGGUAUCAUCAGUUGAGAGUCAGAGAGGCAGAUGUGCCUAAGACAGCUUUCAGAACUAGAUAUGGGCAUUAUGAGUUCUUAGUGAUGCCGUUCGGGUUGACUAACGCCCCUGCCGCAUUUAUGGAUCUCAUGAACAGAGUUUUCAGUGAGUUUCUGGAUCACUUUGUCAUUGUUUUCAUCGAUGAUAUUUUAGUGUAUUCCAGAGAUGCAGAGGAGCAUGCCCAGCAUCUGAGGAUAGUUCUGCAGACAUUGAGAGAGCAUGGUUUGUAUGCCAAGUUCUCAAAGUGUGAGUUUUGGUUGAGGAGCAUUUCCUUCUUGGGACAUGUGGUGUCAGCAGAGGGUAUUGAGGCAGACCCCAAGAAGAUAGAGGCUGUAGCUAACUGGCCCAGACCCACGACAGUGACUGAGAUUAAAAGCUUUCUGGGACUGGCAGGGUACUACAAGAGGUUCGUUGAGAACUUCUCAAAGAUAGCGGCUCCUAUGACCAAAUUGACUCAGAAGAACCAGAAGUUUGUCUGGUCAGCCCAGUGUGAAGAGAGCUUUGAGGAGCUCAAGAAGAGAUUGACCACAGCACCAGUGUUAGCUCUGCCUGUGAGUCAUAAGGAUUUCAUAGUGUUCUGUGAUGCAUCUCGAGUGGGAUUGGGUUGUGUUUUGAUGCAGAGUGAUAGGGUGAUAGCUUAUGCUUCGAGACAGGUGAAGAAGCACGAGUUGAAUUACCCCACCCAUGACCUCGAGAUGGCAGUAGUUAUCUUUGCACUUAAGAUGUGGCGGCAUUACCUCUACGGGGUUAAAUGCGAGAUCUUCACUGAUCAUAAGAGUUUACAGUACAUCUUGAGUCAAAGAGAGCUGAAUUUGAGGCAGAGAAGAUGGGUCGAAUUGCUCAGUGAUUAUGAUUGUACGAUCCAGUAUCAUCCGGGUAAGGCGAAUGUGGUGGCAGACGCCCUAAGCCGGAAAUCACUAGGCAGUUUAUCCCAUAUAACAGCAGAGCGGAGACCCAUAGUGGUGGAGUUUUACAAGCUCAUAGAAGAGGGAUUACAGUUCGAGUUGUCUGGUACAGGUGCGUUGAUAGCACAGAUGAGAGUGACACCUGUGUUUCUAGAGCAGAUAGCUCAGAGACAACACGAGGACCCUGAGUUAAUGAAAAUUGCCAGGACUGUUCAGUCAGGCAAUAGCGCAGAGUUUAGAUUUGAUAGCAAAGGGAUUCUCCGCUAUGGGAGUCGACUUUGUGUACCAGAUAGAGGCAGUGUGAAAGAAGACAUUAUGAGGGAAGCUCAUAAUGCGAGGUAUAGUGUUCACCCAGGAGCCACCAAGAUGUACCAGGAUUUAAAACGGAUUUAUUGGUGGCCAGCCAUGAAAAAAGAAGUGGCGCAAUUUGUGACAGCCUGUGAGGUUUGCCAGAGGGUGAAACUAGAGCAUCAAAAACCAGCAGGAAUGCUUAACCCAUUACCGAUUCCAGAAUGGAAAUGGGAAAACAUAGCUAUGGAUUUUGUAGUGGGUUUACCAGCAGCGUCCAACAGGAUAGACUCGAUAUGAGUGAUUGUGGAUAGACUCACGAAAUCUGCUCAUUUUCUUCCAGUUCGGAGUACCUAUUCUGUGGAUAAGUUGGCACAGGUCUAUCUAGAUGAGAUAGUGAGAUUACAUGGUGUUCCAGUAUCAAUAGUCUCAGAUAGAGGACCUCAGUUUACCUCUAGAUUUUGGCGAAGUCUGCAGAGUGCGAUGGGCACGAGAUUAGAGUUUAGCACUGCUUUCCACCCACAGACUAAUGGACAGUCAGAGAGGACCAUCCAGACCAUAGAGGAUAUGCUUCGACUGUGUGUGUUAGACUUUGGCGGUUCUUGGAGGCAGCAUCUACCUUUGGUGGAGUUUGCCUACAAUAACAGCCAUCAUGCUAGCAUAGGGAUGGCUCCGUAUGAAGCGUUGUAUGGGAGGAAAUGCAGAUCCCCUGUUUGUUGGGAAGAGAUAGGAGAGAAGGCUCUUGUAGGGCCAGAGUUAGUCGAGAUUACUAGUAGAGUGGUGCCCAUGAUCAGAGAUAGAAUCAGGACAGCGCAGAGUAGACAGAAAAGUUAUGCAGACGUUCGCAGAAAGCAGUUAGAGUUUCAGGAGGGUAAUUGGGUAUUGCUAAAAGUAUCUCCAAUGAAAGGCGUGAUUCGUUUUGGGAAGAAGGGUAAAUUAGCUCCACGGUACAUUGGACCCUUUGAGGUGUUGCAGAGGAUCGGAAAUGUGUAGUAUAAGCUGGAUUUACCUGCUUCUAUGGAGAGGAUUCACCCGGUCUUUCAUGUUUCUAUGCUACGACAGUUUGUGUCAGAUCCGAAGCAGGUUCUGAGUGAGCCUGAGGUGGAGAUUCAUACAGAUCUCACCUAUAUAGAGCAGCCAGUGCGGAUUGUGGACACACAGAUCAGACAGCUAAGGAACAAGGAGAUUCCGAUGGUGAAAGUCCUAUGGAACCACCAUAAUGUAGAAGAGUGCACCUGGGAGACGCGGGAGUCUAUGCUCCAGCAGUAUCCAUAUCUAUUUUGAGGUUAGUUUCCUCCUUUUUGUAUGUUUAUGGUUUGUUUUAGGAACAUCCGAGGACGAAUGUUCUUAAGGGGGGGAGAAUGUAAUACCCGGUUAGAGUCCGGCGUCGGCAUUCCUGUUUUCCGGUGGAAUCCAGGAUGUCGAAGUGUGUUAUGUGUUACUACGUGUUAACAUGUGAUUUAUGUGUGUUGUUAGUUGAAUUGAUUUGAGUUGGUUUAAGGUUGGAAGAGAAAAGCUAUGGAGAUGUUUGCCAAGUUCGGCCGCCGNNNNNNNNNNNNNNNNNNNNNNNNNNNNNNNNNNNNNNNNNNNNNNNNNNNNNNNNNNNNNNNNNNNNNNNNNNNNNNNNNNNNNNNNNNNNNNNNNNNNNNNNNNNNNNNNNNNNNNNNNNNNNNNNNNNNNNNNNNNNNNNNNNNNNNNNNNNNNNNNNNNNNNNNNNNNNNNNNNNNNNNNNNNNNNNNNNNNNNNNNNNNNNNNNNNNNNNNNNNNNNNNNNNNNNNNNNNNNNNNNNNNNNNNNNNNNNNNNNNNNNNNNNNNNNNNNNNNNNNNNNNNNNNNNNNNNNNNNNNNNNNNNNNNNNNNNNNNNNNNNNNNNNNNNNNNNNNNNNNNNNNNNNNNNNNNNNNNNNNNNNNNNNNNNNNNNNNNNNNNNNNNNNNNNNNNNNNNNNNNNNNNNNNNNNNNNNNNNNNNNNNNNNNNNNNNNNNNNNNNNNNNNNNNNNNNNNNNNNNNNNNNNNNNNNNNNNNNNNNNNNNNNNNNNNNNNNNNNNNNNNNNNNNNNNNNNNNNNNNNNNNNNNNNNNNNNNNNNNNNNNNNNNNNNNNNNNNNNNNNNNNNNNNNNNNNNNNNNNNNNNNNNNNNNNNNNNNNNNNNNNNNNNNNNNNNNNNNNNNNNNNNNNNNNNNNNNNNNNNNNNNNNNNNNNNNNNNNNNNNNNNNNNNNNNNNNNNNNNNNNNNNNNNNNNNNNNNNNNNNNNNNNNNNNNNNNNNNNNNNNNNNNNNNNNNNNNNNNNNNNNNNNNNNNNNNNNNNNNNNNNNNNNNNNNNNNNNNNNNNNNNNNNNNNNNNNNNNNNNNNNNNNNNNNNNNNNNNNNNNNNNNNNNNNNNNNNNNNNNNNNNNNNNNNNNNNNNNNNNNNNNNNNNNNNNNNNNNNNNNNNNNNNNNNNNNNNNNNNNNNNNNNNNNNNNNNNNNNNNNNNNNNNNNNNNNNNNNNNNNNNNNNNNNNNNNNNNNNNNNNNNNNNNNNNNNNNNNNNNNNNNNNNNNNNNNNNNNNNNNNNNNNNNNNNNNNNNNNNNNNNNNNNNNNNNNNNNNNNNNNNNNNNNNNNNNNNNNNNNNNNNNNNNNNNNNNNNNNNNNNNNNNNNNNNNNNNNNNNNACAGGAAGACCAGGAGCCUUUGACUACGCCCUGGCAAGUAUAGUGAAGUCCAGGAGCCUUUGACUACGCCCUGGCAGGUAUAUAGUAAAGUCCAGGAGCCUUUGACUACGCCCUGGCAAUGGUAAGUACAAUGGUGUUAUAUACACAUAUACAUAUAUGACAGGAAGUCCAGGAGCCUUUGACUAUGCCCUGGCACAGAGUUACUGAGACUAUGUGGUGACAGGUUUACUCUUGAUGUGAAAUGUUUGUGUUAUGACGCAUUCCAUGAGAGCAUCUGUUAAUGAUUUGUUUUACCGUUCUACUCACUGGGCUAUAGAGCUCAUCCCACUCCCUUCAUCCCAGUUUUGCAGGUUCAGUGUACAGUGUACAGGGCAAGUGAGCAGAACACAGAAAAAGGAAAGAGAAAUGUAAUAGUGUAGAGUGGACAUGUAUUAUUUCUGUUAUAGUUCCAGAUGUGCUUGACUUAGUACUUCGUAGUUUGUGUGGUAAAUCCAUGGUUAUGUACAUGAUCUGUAUAUGUAUAUGCUUUAUUGUAUGUGAAAACCAGGCUUAACAGGUAUGAAUGAACCCAUCUAGAGCAAGCUCUAGUCAGGGGUACAGAGUACAGAGUACAGAGAUAAUGCAUGCACAGGUUAAGCCUUGGGUCAGUAAAGAGUUUUUAUUGUCACAGUAAAUGUAUGAUCAUGUAUGAGAUUUACACAGAGAGUAUAGCAGGCUUGCUACGGGUUCUGGCGGCCUUAAGCCGACUUGAAUCCUAGCGCCGGUGACGGUCCAUUUUGGGGUCGUUACAUUAUUCUUCUUGGACUUCCUGUGGCCUCUGUCCCACUUCUUACUGCCUGAAGCUGCUGAACUCAAGGAAGAAGGAUCCAACUUUCCCCCACCUGGGGUCUUGGAAUCAGAAGACUGUGCCACUGACUGCUUAACUCUUCCCUCGAUUAUGGCACUAGCCUCCAUCCUCCGAGCCAUAUCCACUAUGGCAUGGAAACUCUCCCUCUCUGCUGACUGGAUCAAGGAGGAAUACCUGGAAUGAAGCUUCAUGAUAUACCUCCUUGACUUCUUCUGAUCUGUGUCAAGAUUCUGCCCAGCAAAUGGCAACAGCUCCAAGAACCUGUCUGUAUACUCAUCCACACUCAUCUCAUCUGACUGCCUCAACUGCUCAAAUUCAAUCAUCUUCAAUUCCCUUGAACUGUCAGGGAAAGCCCAUCCUGCAAACUCAUUUGCAAACUCCUCCCAUGAUAGGCUGUCCAACCUCGGUUUCACAUAGUUUUUAAACCACUCUCGGGCCUUCUUGCAUUUUAGUGUGAACCCAGCCAUCUGAAUGGCGCUACUGUCAUCAGCUCCUAUCUCAUCUGUAAUCAUCUUGACCCUCUCAAGAUACACAAAUGGGUCAUCACCGGUUUCAUACUGGGGAGCACCCAGCUUCAUGUAGUCGGUCAUCUUGACCUUGCUCCCUCCAGAUGAGCUAGGUUUAGGCAUUUGGGUUUCUGGGACAGUAGGUGCUACUGGUGGUGGAGGAGGUGCAGCAUCCCCUGGGGUAGGGUUUGCUGUACCUGGGUAGAAGGACGGGGGUGGGUACAUAGGAUACUGUGGGUAUGGUGGGUAGAAAGGUGGGUAUGGCAUGUGAGAAGAGUAAGGAUUAAAGCUGGGGUAAUCCGAUGUACCUCCCAUCGAAUACCCGGGGUUCUGUGAAAAUGGUGGGUACUGGGGUGGCUGAACAAAUCCCGAGGCCUGAGUGCCUCCUUGGGACUCUCCCAUACCCUCCUCCGACAUACUCACUCCAAGACUGCCAUCCCUCCUCUGAUCCACAUCCAUAUCAUCCCCCACAUCCUCUGACAUUCCUCCUUGAACUGUUCCUCUUACUGAUCUGCUUCUGUUCAUAUCCAAAGACCUUCUAGGAUCUCUCACUGCUCUUUCCCUGCUAGACCUGCUAGACAUUGCCCUUGGCAAUGCAGGGGGACGGGCACUCAUGGCCUCAUCCUCCGGUGGUACUCCAGUCAAUCGUGCAGAUCGACGAGUUCCUCUCAUCUUGCUUACUGAAAAACAACACAUAACACAUAAAACAUUAGCAUCAAAUGGUUCAUGUGCAAACACAUGAACCCGCAUCACAUACAUAACAUAUCAUUAAUGCACAUGUAUAAAAUCAUGGCAUUUCACAUCAACAUUCAAGACAGGACUGUACAUCCUAUCCUAGUGGACAUGAUUUUUCCUAUUGUGCUUGACCUUCUAGAACAUCUAUGAGCCCGACACUCUAGGUCCGACCACAUGAACCUAGGGCUUUGAUACCAAUCUGUAACGACCCGAAAAUCGGACCGCUACCGGCGCUAGGAUCCGGAUCGGCUUAAGGCCGCCGGGACCCGUAGCAAGCCCAUCAUAAAACCUGUAAACCUGUGAAAUCCCAUACAUGAUCAACACACACAUAAAAAUUUGAACUUUUCUCAUUCAAUUUCCAAACUCAACCUGUGCAUGCACAACUCAUAAUCAUCAUUCCCCUCAUUAGAGUCCUCAACUAUGCUCCAAUGGGAAACAUUCAUUCAUACAUUAAGUUUGGUUUUCAUAAAAUAUCAUUACAUUUGAAAGAUCAUGUAUUAAAAGGGAUAAACCACAUACUAGGGUCAAGCACCACUCUAAUCCUCAAUAACAUCAUUACAUUACAUAAUUAUUCCAUACUAUUCAUUACAUUUCAACAUUUAUCAUGUCCACCACUAGCUAUUACAUGACCACAACUUUACUCUAGCUGACCUCCUGGUCUACCCCGUACCUGCAAACCUGGAGAAAUAGGGGAGUGGGGUGAGCUACUAGAGCCCAGUGAGCAAAAUAAUGAAACAUAGUAUUUAAAACGUAUGAUAACAUGGAAUGCAUCACAGCACAGACAAAUCACAUCAAGGAUGAACUUGUCACCAGUUAGUCCUCUAUACUGUUUAAACAUGCCAGGGGCGUAGAGCAGGCACGCCUGGACUUCCAUAGCAUAACAUACAUAUCCAAUCAUGCCAGGGGCAUAGUGCAGGCCACACCCGGACUUUCUCUUACAUUGUGCCAGGGGCGUAGAGUAGGCACGCCUGGACUUCCAUAUCAUAUCAUCAUAUCAUAACAUAUGAGGGCUAAUGGAUCAUUCAACGUUCAUCCACAUCAACAACAUAAUAUGCAAUGCAACAUAUUCGUGGAUUCUAAUGCAAGCAUCCUAGUAUAUCUCAUGGCAUUCAUGAUGCGUGAAUCAUGCUAAAACUUACAUUAUUUGCUUUAAAAUGUAGAGAGUUAUUCCACUCACCUCUGGCUAGCUCUGACAGACACUGAAGCAGCUGACUCACUGCUGGGGUCCUUGGUUCCUCGGGUCCGAACCUACACAGGUGGACUCAAAUGAGGGACCAAACAUACAUAAACAUGACUCUACAGGCAGCCAAAAGUUGGCCUCCACAGGCAGGCUCGGCGGCCGAAAGAGCCUUCGACUGCCGAAUCUGGAUCCUCCCAAAGUGGCAGAACCCAGCCUUUCUCAUGCACAAACGCCUCCCAACUCAUUCAAUCAUGCAUUUUCCUAUUCUACAACAUGCAUACUCAAGCAUAUAAGCUCCUAGGGGCUUCAAACUAUCUUAAACCCCAACUACAACACAUCAAACAUGCAUUUUCAACAUACAUUGUUCAUAAACACACAUUUAACCAAAAACUCAUCAUAAACCUACACAUGCAUUUCUACCCCAAGAAACUUCAUAAAACUUACUUAAAACAUGAAAUGAACUAUGGAUCUACUCUUACCUCUUGAAAAACGAGAGGAGAGACAAUCCUAGCUCGGAGAUGGGGAGAAAUCAGCUCUUAGGUCUCCAAGCUUCAAAACUUGCUCUUUUUGUUCAAAUAUCUUCAAAUCAACAUAAAGCUUGUUAAAACAUGAAAGAUCCGAGGAAAAACAUCAAAGAUCAACCAUGGGAGAGCAGGAACUCACCGUGGCCAAAAAUGGAGAGAAAACUCGCCCGUUUCGGCCAUGGAGUCCUUUUAUAGGGGUUGCCAGACCACCUUUCGGCAGCCUAAAGUGCCUCCAAAACUCAUGCAAGUUCGGCGGCCGAAUAUGAGGUUUGGCGAUCGAACCUUUGAAACUUUCGGAAGCCUAACUUGCCCCCCUAAACUAUCCAAUGUUCGGCGGCCGAACUUGAGGUUCGGUGGCCGAACUUGGAAAUGCCUCCUUGGUCUUUUUCAUUCAAAACUCAAUUUCCUUUCUUUCCUAAAACCAUAAAAUACAUUAAAACAUUUUAUGAAAACAUGGUUUUACCCUUCUAGAGGUUUUCGACAUCCGAGAUUCCACCGGGUGGUAGGAAUUCUGAUACCGGAGUCUAGCCGGGUAUUACAUGGACCACAAUUUCAUUUUCUUUUGCUUAUAUGAACACUGACUCCACCUUCGGAAUAUGGUGGGUUCAGUGUUUCUCAAGAAAAUUAAGGAAAUAAGGAACAAUGGGACCAUAGAGAGAGAAGUUUUGAUAGAGAAAGAGACAGAGAGAGCAUGAGAGAGGGACAAGGCUUCAACAGAGAUAGACAGGGCGCGAUAGAGAAGGAUAAGUUUCGAUAGAGAUAGAGGGGUUUAGUUUCGACAGAGAGAGAGAGAGAUAAAGAGAGCACGAGAGAAAGAGACAAAGCUGAGAGAGAGAGAAGUUUAGACAAAGACAAAGAAAGCAUGAGAGAGAAAGAAAUUUAGACAAAGACAGAGAGAGCAUGAGAGAGAGAGAGAGAAGAAAGAGGGAGAAGAAAGAGCGAUAGGGUUUUGUGAUUUUGAAGUAUAGGGACUUUUGGUGAAGGUCAAUUUUGUAAAUUCACGUGUCCCAAACGGCUAUUUUGGACGGAAGGACUAUGAAUUUGGACGGAAGAGAAAGUGAGGGACUUAAGUGUUGGGUCGUCAAAAUAGAGGGACAGAAGUGUUAAUUACGUUAAACCUCAGGGACUAAAAAGUAAUUUUUCCUUAUUUUAUAAUUAUUCCUUGAAAGGUAAUUUUCUUUUAAAAUUUUAACUACUUUUAUUAUUUUUACUGUUUUCUUUUUACCUUUCAGAAUUGAAACCUAACUUAUCCUUCUCUUUUCUUUUUCCCUCUCACCUUAGAGCUGAUUAUAUUUUUCUAUACAUGUUUGAGCUUUAUAGAGAUCAUAGAUAAGCCAUCAUGAUUAUUUGAGAUUUAUAUGGUAAAAUUAUUUGAUUUAUUUUAUAAUUGUUCCUUGAAAGGUAAUUUUCUUUUAAAAUUUUAACUGCUUUUAUUGUUUUUACUAUUUUCUUUUUACCUCUCAGAAUUAAAACCUAACUUAUCCUUCUCUUUUCUUUUUCCCUCUCACGCUGUGGACCACUCUCUCUCUCUCUCAACUCUCCCCUCUUUUGCAGACCAGUGAUGGCUAAGAACAAUUCAAUUACUGACUAGUCAGAGACACCACCGACCACCAUGCCCAUGUCUAAGCAAUGGAUAAAAAAAUCCAUCGAACCACACUCAUGACAAGACCAUGGCAACGCUGUUAGUACCUGUAACGACCCAGGAACCAGAUCAUUACCGGCACUAGGGUUCAGAUCGACUUAAGGUCACCGAAACUCGUAGCAAGCCUACUAUCCAUCUUGUUACACCUGAUAAAAUCCCAUACAUGAUCACACGAUAUAAAAAAACCUAAACAUUUCAUGAACCAAGACUCGACCUGUGCAUGCAUCAUAACUGGAAACAUAAAAUCCAUACUAAAGCCCUCAUCAAAUGCUCCAGUAUGGUCAACAUAACAUGCCUCAAGCUCAGUUCAAACAUAAACUCAUAUUUAAAACUUUUACAUAAAGGAUCAUGAAAAACAAAGAUUUCAAGGACAAACACUAGAGUAAAGCACAAUUCUAAUCCAUAAAAUAAUAUAUGUCUGCAACUAUACUAUAACAAAAGGCUAUACCAGCAACUUAGCCGACUUUUCCGAGCUAACUCUGAUCCUGAAAACUUGGGAUUAAGGGAAAGGGAUAAGUUACAAAAGCCUAGUGAGCAGAACAUAAAAAAACAGUUCAAUAAACAUAUGAUCGUAUGAAUGCGUCACAACACAAAUAAUUCAUAUCAAGAUGGACUUCUUAAUAGUAACCCUCUACAGAUUCCAAAAGUGUCUAGCCCAUGACGGGUGCUCCUCAGGACUUCCUCUUAAACAUAAUAUAAUAUAACAUAACAUAACAUAACAUAUCUAUAGUGCUAGGGGCGUAGAAUGAGUCUCAACCUGGACUUUCUCUUACAUAUUUAACAUAACAUAUCCAUAGUGCUAGGGGCAUAGAAUGGGUCUCGACCUAGACUUCCGUAUCCAUCAUAACAUACUCGAGGGCUAGUGGGUCAUCCAACAUCCAUCCACAACAACAACAAUAACUAUGCAAUGCAUCAUAUUCGUGAGUUCUAAUGCAAAACAACCUAAUUUCAUAUACAUGGCAUUCGUGAUGCAUGAGCAUGCUUAAAAAGUUUUGAAUUCUUUGAAAUAAUAGAUCAGUUUAGUUCUACUCACCUCUGGCUGACGCUCACCUAAAACUGAAACAGUUAUCUCACUGCAGACCUCUAUGGUCUUUCAAGUCUUAUCCUACACAGAUGGACUUAAAUGAGAGACCAAACAUAACUUUUACAAUACUCAAAACGACCCCCCAAGAAACCCCUCAAAACAUAUCAGAAUAUACAUAGAAAUCAAGUCUUAUCCUACACAGAUGGACUUAAAUGAGAGACCAAACAUAACUUUUACAAUACUCAAAACAACCCCCCAAGAAACCCCUCACAGAUCCGAAGGUUGAAACCUUCGGGAGCAGGUUAGGCGGCCAAAAGGCUGCCUCCAUAAGCAGGUUCAGCGGCCGAACCUUGCUUCAGCGGUCGAACCUAAGUUCUCUAGCAAGGCAGAAUCUGAUUCUGCCCUAAAUAUGCAGUCUCCAAAAAGCCUCCAAACACACUUGCAAAAGCUUAGAAACAAAAGCACACCCUUAACAUGCAUAAGGGACAUCUAGAUCUAGCUUAAUCCUCAACAUGCAAUAUCAACAACUUGGAAGAAAACACCCAUUAACAACCUGAGGCUCAACCUUUCAACUCAAAGAAAAAUUUAACUUUCAUGCAUCAACAAACCUCCCUAAAAUACCUAUAAAACUUGCUGAAACCUUUAGAAAACAAGAAAAAGGUGAAGAUUAAACUUACCUCUUGAAGAACAGCAAGGUGACAGCAAGCUAGGGGUGGGUUUUGGAGAUGGAGAGAUGAAUUCCGAGGGUUCCAAGAGAUAGGGUUACGAAAAGCAACUUAAACUUCAAAAUAACAGCAGAAAAACAUGAAUUCUUUAAGGGAUUUGGAGAAAUUCAGCAAAAAAACUUAAGAUGUGCAUGAAUUCACCUCUGCUCGAAAAUAGAGAAAGAAAACUCACAUUUUUGAGCUGAUGGCCUUUUAUAGGUGGUUGAGAAAACCAUGUUCAAUGGCCGAAUUUGAAGGUUCAGCGGCCGAACCUUAGGAUUCCUCAAACUCUUCUCUUUCCUUUUUUAUAACACUAUUCCAAAAAUUUCAAAAUUCAUUUUAUGAAAACCUUAUUUUACCCUUCUAAAGAUUACAGCUUUGGGAUUUCGGAUUCCGAUGAAAAUUCCGUCGGAAAGUAGAAAUUCAGACGCCGGAUUUUAGCUGAGUAUUACAGUACCAAAAUAGAUAGCUGAUAGGGAGAAAGUGAAGCUGACCAUGGCAUCACAACCAAAAGCCACUACACCAAUAAUAGUGCCUUCUUUGAUCACAAUAAGACGAGCUACUCACUCACAAGUGAAAGAUAAAGCUCCAAUGCCUAGCAUGCAAGUUGAACUAGAAGAGGAAUAGGAAAUCAAGCCAAAGAUUUUGGAGUAAUUGAAGAAAAGUAAAGAACAACCUAAGACUACCAUGCUGAUUUUGGAGUCUUACACCGAGAGCAACAAUGAGGAUACAACUUCAUAGCAUAGUAGCAAAGAGGUUGCGACCCUAGCAUAGGACGCCGAUGACAGUAGCAGCAACGAGGAGGUACAACAUGUGUCUCCACCAAAAAAGAAGUAGAAGAAGCGAAUGCCAAGAAUGGCUGACAGGAAGGCCAGGUACCUACCCGAAGAACAUGAGCUACAUGGUAGUUUUGAUUUUGAGAGCAACAAUAAAGAAAUGUAUCAAUCUUUUCUCCAUUUUAAUAUUUACCAUUACAAAAGUAUCAAUGAUGUUGCUUUGACAUAAUUGAACAUGUCUGAUGAAGUUUAUAUAUUAAUUGAUAAUAUUGGUUAGAGAAGGUUCUUUGCAAUUAAUUGUCCAUCCUAUUUUGAGUUAUGAAGAAAGCUUUAUACUACCUUUGAAUUCUCAUAUGAUAUUCAAAACUUUAAUUUAAAUACACUCCUUAUUCACUUUAGGUUAAGAGUAAAUUGGUACAUUGCUCUAUUACAAAUUUUAAUCUUCAUUUGGGUAUCUAUGAUCAUGAAUAUGUAAAAACAACUGCGUACUUAGAUUCUUUAUAUUAUUAUCCAGCAUGUUCCAUAAACACAAAGUCACUUUUAGUUUUUAGUUAGCCUCCCAAUUUAAAACUAUUUUUGAUACUAGAUGUGAUAUUUAUUUAGGUCCUGUGAUUUCAAUAUUGGUUGUUGGUAUGGGUCUACUCGAUACACAGAAUACUAAUUUACACACUGAUGAGCACAUUCUUCUUUUAUAUAUUUAUGCACUUAAUUCUAUGGGCUUAUAUUGCCUCAAUGAGAGGAAAGAAAUUGAGUUUUAUCCUCCAGGUCCUAUCAUUCCAACUCGAUCACGCUUAUUUUGAACAUAAGACAAACCAGGCCCAUCUACCUCAGCCUCCUCCAGAAUCUAUUAAUAAUGCCCGGCUAGCUAGAAUUGAAGCCAAAGCAUAUUGAUGCCAAACUGGAUGCGAUACUCUCCCAUUUGAGGUUGCCUAUACCCCAACCAUCAGCUACCUAAAGAUUCAGCAAUGACUUGCUCUUUAGGAAAGUUCUUUAUACUCUCUAUCUUAUUUUUCUAUCUUUUGUAUUGAUGCGCUUCCCCCUUGCUUAUAUUUUGUUACACAUUGAGGACAAUGUGAGGAUAAGUAUGGGGGGAGUAUUGAAGUGUUUUUAUUGUUUCUUUUGUGAUUGCCAUGAUGGUUAUUGUACAUAUUCUUUUAUUAAUAUUUCUGUCAUUCUGUUGUUGUUCUUACACAUUUUUAAAUUCUUGUUGCCAAAUGUGAUAGGCUGGCCCAAGCCUGUCUAUUUCUCAGGCUUGCACUUGCCAUGAGAAGUUUGAGAUGUCCCUAUCAAAGAGUUUUAAGUUUUUAUGCAAUUUGAUGCUAGUUUAAAUAGAAUAAUUUCAUCCUUGUUCAUUUCUUUAGGCUUGUUUUUAAGGCUUGUCAUGAAAGUUCAUGAAGUAUGGUCCUUGUUUAAAUGGUUAGAUAAUGAAUGCAUGCUUAAACUGUUUGUUAUCCUUUGAUAAGAGUGACACUAAGAAAAUUUUAUAGACCAUGUUUUUAUGCUAAAUUAUUCAAGGAUAUUAUAAAAAAGAAACAAAUACACAGUAAAAGUAAAAAAGAAAAAUAAAUCAUUGCACUCCUAUGACUCACUCUUUUAGUCAUUUGGCUAUUUAGUUACCAACCCGAUGGUCCAAGUAGUGUUGUGCUUGGCAACCCUUUAAGGUGAUUCUGUAUAGAAAAAUCAAUGUUUGGGAGAGUAUCAUCCAUUUUGGACCAUUUAAAAACUCACCUCAUACCUUUAGUUGGGUAACUAUGAGUGGAGCUAAUAGCCACCUGAGCUGAAAAAUCUAGGGCAAGUGGCUUAAUAACCAUUUGUUUCAUGUUCACUUCAUCAGUUUCAGGCAAGACAUAGUAGAAAGUGUAAUAAAAUCCCUAAAAAUCUUUAAAUUUUAAUGGUCUGGUCAACAUUUCUAGAAUCUAUUUUCUUGAAGGGGUAGCUUAAUCUUAAAAGAUGGCAUUUUAACUUCUAUGUGUUUAAAUUGAACAAAUGGCCUACUUUAUAUCUUGAGGAAUAUGUUUUAAAAGUGAUACUUGUCGUAGUGAACUUUGGUGAAGUUAAGCUAUUUAUCCUAGUAUCCUAUUGCAUGAUAGUUGUUUCUUUGCUUUGGACAAUGAAAUUUCAAUUAGUUGAAGAUAGGGUUGUGUUUUUGGAAUCUGAAAUUCUAUGCUUGAGGACAAGCAAUGUGCAAGUGUAGGGGAUUCUAAUGAGUUGUUAAACUCAUUAAUUUUUCCAUAUUAAUUUUCAUGAUUUAGUUAUGUUCUUGAUGGUAAAAAGUGGAUAUUUACUUAGAUUUUGAUUUUGGACAGGUUUGGAGCUAAAAAUAUGAAAAGGAACCAACAGAGACACUGCUUUAGAGCUAUUUUGGAUUGAAAAGUUCUGUCUUGUCCAAAGUUGUGACUAAAACUCGACGGACAAACAAUAGAGUUUUGGUUUUGACAGCUGUACAAAAAUCAAAUUAUUUCAAAUAGCUACAAAUACGAUUAGAUCUAGAAUUAGGAUAACAACAUUAGAAGAAUUUGUUGAUUUAUUUUCUUUCUUUUAAAUUUUGAAUAUUUUCUUUAGUCUUUUUGUUAGGAAAAAGCCUAUAUGAGGGCUAUUUUAGAAGUAGGAAUUCAUCUCUCAACUCAUUCCUGAAUUCAUCUCAUCUCUUUCCAUCUCUCGGUUUCUUCAGUCGAACUACUUUCUCUUCUUCUUUUUAUUUUUCUGCAUUUUUGUUAUGACUCUUUUUAUUUUUCUGCAUUUUUGUUAUGACUCUUAGUGGCUAAAUACUCUUUUUCAGUUGAAGGUUAAUCUAGUUGAGAUUUUAUCAAAGUUGUGAGAUCUAAUCUUAUUUUCUUUUCAUUUUAAUUUUUGUUUUUAUUCUUUUUCUAUUUUUGAGAAACACCACCUUCAUUGUUGUCUUCUUACAUAUUCAAGAGGGCCAUUGAAUAUCCUAAUUAGAUAACAUAUUGCUAAAUAACUCAAGUAUAGAUAUAAUUAUUUAAUUGGGUUAAUACAAUUAACAAUUAGCAUAUCUAUUUAUAUUAAGAAAUUGAGUAAUUUGGUUUAAAUAAUUCGCUUGCAAUUAUUAAUCAAAUUUGGUUGUUCUUCUCUUAAUAUAAUUAAUUAAUUAAUUCUACAUGCUUGUUGGGCUUGUUAAUUAAUUAGAAAUUAAUUUAGCACUUUAUAAAUUAAUUUAAUUUCAAGAAAGAAUUGGUGGGAUUCACUUAUUUGAAUAUUAUAACCAAACAAUAAAACAUUAAGUAAAUUACUUUUUAGAUCAAUGAUCAAUUUAAAAAUCUCUCAACUUAAAUUACCUUCACCUGAACUUUUAAACUAAUUGUUUAUUUCAUCAUUCUAUCACAGAUAUUUUAUUUCUUCUAAAGUUUUCUUGAAAUCAAAUUGACGAUUAAAAUUUCUUCCUUUUCUUUUUCAUUUUAAAUAAUUCUUUUCUUUUUUUUAUUUGAUAUUUAAAUUAAAUAAAUUUAAGAUUUUUAUGGGAUUGAUAUUCAUUCACUCUAUUUACAAAAAUUAUUAAAAAGAAAAAUUAGUUUUAAUUAACGGAUUUAAAUUAGUGAUUAAAUUAAAAAUAUGAUAAAGUUGAGAAAUUAUAAAAAUUAUCGUAGUGGUUUAUAAUUAAUUAAUUGUUUAUAGAUAGGAAUUUUCUGUGAAGAGGGAAGAGAAGUUUUUGUGACCUGUCACCGAAAUGUAAAAAAAUUAUUUCAUUUAAAUGGGUAGUAUAUACGACUUUCUGAAAAAUUAAUUAGGCUCUACAAGAAUUUUCCACUUAAAAUAUAUGUGGGAGAGAAAGAAUAACUUGUAUAAUACGUAAAGACUAAGAAGAUUCCAAUUAAGCAGGUCUUUUUGCUGAACAGUUUCCGAGAAAUACAUAUUUACAAUUGAUAUUAAUUGAAAUUAAUACAUUGAAUAUUUUAAAUCAAAUUAAAAUUUGUUAAAUAUAUAAAAUUAUGAAAACCAUAAUAAUUAAAUAUUUCAUUCGUUUUAUAAAGAUAUAUUUAUUUUUUUCAAAUUAUUAAUAUUUUUUUAAGAUGAUAAUAUAUUUAUUAAUUUUUUAAUAUAUCUAUAUUUAUUAUAUAUUGAAAUAUUAAAAUUUAUUAAUUAAAAAAAUUAGUAACAUAAUGAUAUUACAAAAAUUAGAUUGAUGAUGUGAGUUGAAUUGAGUUACGCUGCGAUUGGUUAGACCUGAAAAAAAGAGAAUAUGAGGAGGUGGUGGUGGAUAUUCACAGAGUCAUUCCGACGCUCAGGUCAGAAUAGAGAAAAUCUAAUGAAUUGUUUAGAACUUAGUAGUAUUUCAGAAUAGUGUACUUUUAUUUUUAUGAUUUUUCUCUUUUUAUACUGUAAAAUAGUGGAGAUGAUUAUAGUAUUUCUUAAUAAUCCGAAGAUGAUAUAGUCAGCUGUUUGAUAAGAGAUAUCAUCAAUUAAUAGGUUAACAAUUCCAUGAUUAUAAGCAUAAUGUGAUAUAUUGGGCUGUGAUUGAUAACAGUAAUUUCGUGUCGAGACUCGUCCUGUUGAGAGGGGGACGAGUUUUGGUGAUGAACCGAAUGUUAAGGUGUCCUAAUCUUUUUUUUCUUGGGUUGGAUCGCAUUUCUCACUUAUCUGAUCCCUGCCACGUAGUCCUAUUUCAUAAUAACAGUUUAUGACUUAUUUUGAGUGGUUGUUACGUGCAUAAAAUGUAAAUGAAGAGUAUAAGAAAACCUAUAAAAUUUAUUGCUUAUAUUCUCUUAAUCUAUGUGAAAAUUAUUACUGAUUUAUUGUUGUAAGAUUGAGUCAUGUGUGAUGAAAGAGAGAAAAUUGUCUCAUUUAUUAUUAUAUUAUAAAUUUUGUUAAUCCUGUAUUAAAUUUUCAUAAAUGACAAUGUUACUAUCAUCGUCUUAUUAACAAUAAUUUUUGUCAUUUUUAAAAAUUUGAAGCAUAAUUAGUAAAACCUAAAAUACAAAUCAUUAAUAAAUAGGUAAUUUCUAAUUGGACAAGUUAUCGAUGAUAUAACUUAUAAGUUCAAGUAUUCAACAUGUCAUGAUUUUAGUUCUAAGUGUAUAAUUAUCUAAUCUCAAUUAAUUCAGGUAUAUAACCAUGUCGUUAGCCAAAUAAUUUCUUAUAAAAAAAAAAAUUAUUGUUACAGGGUCAAUGUUUUUAGAGAAUGCAUCGGUAGAAGGAUAACUGCAAACCUCGAAAAAUUAAUCUUCUGUAGACCAUAAAAUAUAUAUGAAGGAUUAUCUUGGUAAAUUAAAAGAAGUGCAAAAAUUGACAGGUGAAAUGAUGUGAUUAUGCUUAUAUCUCCAAGCCAAUUAAAGGAAGAAUAAAUAUAGAAAAAAAAAAAAAAAAACUACUUUUUUAAACUAUAAUUUGCAUUAACAAGACCUAAAUGGAUAAGGUCAUAGACUAUGGGACUAAGAAGUCCAUAAAUCAUAUUAAAUCUACUACAGAUUAUACUUAUAGAUCAAACCACCCAAAUUAAACCAAAACUACUUUAGUUAUCAGAUAUGGGCGAGAAAAAUUAGUAAACUAAGUCUACCACUCCACCCCUCAUUAUCCUCUUAUCUGCAAUAGGUAAGAUAGCCAUUAAGAACUUUACAACUCCAUUGAGCAAAGCUCACCAAGGGUUAAAAACUACAUGGAAUACCAUAAAGUCCUCAAAAGGUAAGAAGACUAAGCUUCAUCCAAAUAUACAACAGACUCUAAAAAGUGAUGAUGUAAAUAUUGCAACUUCUUAAUUUCAUAGGAAAAACUUAUCUAGACUAGAUCUAUAUGAAUUUAUAGUGUAAAUACAAAUGGAGUUUUAAGUGAGCCCUAUUAUCAUUUUACACUGUGGGUCUAUUUAGACUCAGUCUAUAUAAGAAAUCAUAUUACUCAAUAUGGUUUCGAAGCUGAAGAUCCUAAGAUGCCACCUGAUAUGCCUGAGAUCCGAUGGAGAAGGAGAUGGAGACACGUGGUAAAGGCUUAAUUCAUGGGGAAGUUAAUGGCUUUGAUUGGGUGGAGUGAGAGUUAAUAAGGCUUACCCUUCUACUUUGUGGAGGUUGAGAUUUUUGGGAGAGAUUGAGAGUUUCUUAGAUCUAGGAUUGUUAAAAAAUUUGUCUAGAGAUAGUUCAUCUAGGGGUAUUAAUAUCUUGACCGUCUCAGGAUGUUCUAACGGGUUAUCCUAUCAGAUAUGAUGGUGGCGUGUUAUAGCAGAUAUGUCAAGUGGCUCAUUAAUAGUGGGCAGUCGACUAAUAAAUGAUGAGCCGCUUUGCCUUUAUCCUGUCCAUCACGCGCGUCUUUUCUAUUAGCCCUACUGCGCGUGUAAUUAUGACCCUAUGAAGGCUCUAUGCGCUUCGAGCAUAGGUGAGGUUGGCUCGCCUAUUCCAGGCAUGGAUAUGAUUAAAGGUGUAGGAGGUUUGAUCUGCACACGAUGUUAGAUGGGCCUUCUAUAGCUCGGUCAGACUGAAGUCCUAGUACGGGGACUCUUUUGUUUCUUUUGUACACGUGUCACGAUCUCAACGGGAUCCAUUAUUAUUAUAUUAUCACCACCUUUAGGAUAUGGAAGCAUAUUUCCCUUCAAGCCAACCAAGUUUUCAUGAAUUGCUUAAUUCAUGUGUCCUAUUUCUCUAUCUUUUUCAAUAGAUCUUAAAUAAUUUAGGUUGCUUAAGUGGAUAAUGGCUCAUCAUGUUAGCAAAAAUACUUGGGGUAAGCAGAAUUCGGUUUAAAUUCAAAUUAUUAACUAAAUCGAUUCAAUUUGAAAAUUUAAUUUGAUUUUAUUUUUUAUUUAGUUAGAUUGCGUUUAAAUUUUUAGAAAUUUCAAUUUAAUCAGUUGGCUUUGAUUUUAAAAAGAAAAUUUUGGUCAAAAUCUAAACAAACGAAUAGUAAAAAGCAAACAAUAUCGUUUGUUUUUUAUAUUAUUUAAUAGUUACUAAUGUCUAUAAUUAUAAAAAUUAUCCUAAAACUUUCUUAUUAUUCAUUUUUUAGUCACAAUAUUUAUUUAAAAAAUAAUUGCUUUCUAUAAAUUAUUUUAUUUAUUUCUUAUUUUUUAUGUAAUGUAUUACAGAAAAUUAUUAUAUUUUUUAUGAGAACACCAAUAAGGAUCUACACUCAAGAACAACGGUUUAGAGUGAUCAACAUGUUCCAUAAUUUAUCCAAUUAUCUCUAGAUCAAAAUAUAAAAGGAAAUGAUUUGUAUUGCCUAGUGAGACAUAUUAUUGGAGUCAAUGGACUAAUGCAAAAAAUAAUUUGGUGUGGGUCUAUUAACAGAUGAAGAGAGAUAAAUGACUCUUAGGUAAACUUUGCCUACUAUCAAUGAAAAGGGUAUUCUAGAUAUAUGGUGGCAUAAAUUGAAUCACAAUGCUAGUGGUGUCUAUAGGCGUUUAGUUCAAAAUUUCAUCCAUGAAUAUACUCAUUGGAUAGCUAAAAAACUAUGACUCAUUCUAUCGGACUAUCUAUACUAGAUAGUAAGUUUAGUAAUAAGACCAUCACUUGUAAAAAUUUUAAAGUGUGAGUUAAUUUAUAUGGCUUUAUUUAAGUUUAUUUACUUUUAUAUAAUGAUAGUUUAGUAAUAAAUUUAGAUCGAAAAAUAAAAUUUAAUAUUUUUAACCACACUAUAUAAUUGAAAGAUAAAUUGAACCAUUUUGCCAAAAUUACAUUCUAAUGGAGAUUGUAAUUCAAUUCCAAUGAAGUAGAUAAUAUUUUAUGAAGAGAAUAUACAAUAAUAUUUUUAUUUUAAAUCAACAUUUAAAUUUAAACAAAAAUUCUAGAUUAAAUUAAUUUAUAUUUAUGUAUUAUACUUAAUUUGUUUAAAAAUAUUACCAUAACUCAUAUGGAGUUGUGAUAACUAACUUAAAUGGUACACGGUUAAGAACAAAUACAGCAGUAAGCAAUGCAUCACUCCAAUAGGUAACAAGCAGAUUUUCUUAGCCAUCAUAGACCUAACCAUUUUUAGUAAGGUUAUAUUUUCAUCGUUCUGCAAUAUUAUUUUGUUGCGGUGUAUAAGAAAUAGUCAACUGUCAUUGAAUUUCCUUUUCAUCACAUAACCUUUUAAACUCAUCAGUAAAGAAUUCUCUACCUCGAUCGAUCCUAAGAGUUUUAAUUUUUCUUUCUAACAGAUUCUCACUUGAGUUCAUAAACUUAGUGUAGCAGCUUAAAAUUUCGGACUUUUGAGAAAUCAAGUAAAUAUAUUUGAAUUGAGUGAAAUUAUCAAUAAAUAUAAUGAAAUAAAUAGCACCAUUUCUAGCCCUUAUAUUCAUUAGACCACAUAUGUCAUAGUAAAUUCAUUGUAAUGGAGCCUCGGCUCUUGUGCCUUUUCUAAAUGAUUUUCUUGCUAUUUUUUGAGUUAAGCAAUAUUUACAAAUAGAUAAUUAUACUUUGUCUAUAUUUCCUAGUAAGCUUUUUUGGCUAACCUAUUCAUACAUUAUUGGCCAAUGUGGUCAAGCCUAGCAUGCCAUAUAUUUACAUCAAUUGAUAAAUGAUCAAAAGAAGAUGUAAAUAAAGAAAAACAUAUAUUAUUAGAAGUUUGAAUAACAUCCAGUACAAUAAAACCAUCAAGAAAAUAUCUAGUAUAAUACUUAAUUUGUUCUAAAUACAAAUCAACACCAUGAGAAUGAAAUACGAUAUUAAAACUUAACUUAAUCAACAUAAACACAGACAUCAAAUUUCAGUGGAUAGCUAGAGCAUAAAGCAUAUCAUGUAGUAGAGGGUAAUCCGACUUAAAUGUUCUAAAACCUUGGAGGUGUACUGCUUUUUUUCACAAUCCUUCUCAUAAGUGUGAAAAAUUAGGUCCAAGGGAAAGGAAAUGUAUCUUUAUAAGAUACUGAGAAUAGUCUAAAGGACAUAUAUUUGUAGGUGAACAAGAUAGUGGCAUAGUAAUUGAAUUUGAAUCACGAUAUGUCAUAUUCUUAGAAAAUAAAUUUCCUAGACAAUAUAAGAUAGUUCAACAUUUGUCUCUCUAUGAAACUGAAGACCAAAAAACUUCCACUAUAAAACCUGAAAUGGAUUCUUUUCCUAGUGGGGAAUAUUUCAAAUAAUAAUAAACCAAUUCCAAUUGACAUUGAAAUGCACCCUGUAGUGAAUUCAUUAGAUAUUUCUAGUCCUAGUGGGAGUGAUUCUAACAUUGAUAAAUCAAUUUAUCAAUUUCAACCGUGAAGAACUAGUGGUCCAUAUAUUCUUCGUUAUCGCUUUGAGGUCGAAUUAUUUCACAAGAUGAAGAGGAGUCAAGAAAUGUGAACGAGACUCUUAUAUUCCUACUAAAGAUAAAUGGAUUAAGGCAAUGUAGGAAGAAAUAUAGUCUAUACAAUCAAAUCAAGUGUGGGAAUUGUCUAAUUUACCUACAGGAUAAAAAAACUAUUGGGAAUAAAUGGGUUCUCAGAAUCAAGCGUAAGGCUGAUGGAAGUAUCGAAAGAUACAAAACUCACUUAAUAGCCAAAGGAUAUACAUAACAGAAAGGAAUUGAUUAUGAGGAAACUUUUUCUCCCGUUAUGAGAUUUACCUUUAUAAGGAUAUUCUUGUCUAUUAUAGCUAGUUUAGAUACAGAAUUAUAUCAAAUGGAUUUUAAGGUUAUUUUUCUCAAUAGAGAAUUAGAAGAAGAAAGCUAUAUGGAAUAACCUAUAAGUUUUAUUAAGAAAGGUCAAGAACAUUAGGUUUAUAAACUUAGAAGGGCUAUUUAUAGCCUUAAGUAGUCUACUAGAUAAUAGUACAUUUGAUUUCAUGAUGCGAUUAUGUUAUAAUUUCACUAUGAGUGAUGAAAACUAUUGUAUUUAUACUAAAAAAUCUAAGGAUAAUUUUGUGAUCUUAUCACUGUAUGUUGAUGAUACACUUAUAGUUAGCAGUGACAAAGAAUAUGCUAUGAAAAUAAAAGAGUGUCUAUAAUCUAAAUUCGAGAUAAAAGAAAUGGGUGAAGCAACAUAUAUUGUUGGAGUUAAGAUUUCAAGAGAUCGUUCAAAGAAAUUAUCAUCUCUUUCAUAAGAGCCAUAUAUUUAAAAAAAUUCUUGAAUGAUUUAAUAUGCAAUAUAGUUAGCCCAUAGACAUUCUUAUUUCAAAAUGCAAAGCUUUAAGUUGAAAAAUAUGUCCUAAGACUCCACAAAUGAGUAGAGUUCCUUAUGCUAAUGCAAUCAGUAGUCUAAUGUACAAUAUGAUGUGUACUAGACCCGAUAUCUACUAUGUUACUCGAUAUCUACUAUGUUAUUAGAUUAGUUAAUAGAUAUCAAUGAUCCAAGACAUCAAUAUUGGAAAACAGUUAAAAGGAUACUAAGGUAUCUAAAAAGCACCGCCGAUUACUCCUUGUGUUAUCAAGAAAAAAAUUUGCUACUCAUGUUGACUAUAGAUGUGGUUUGAAUGAGAGAAAUUCUACCUGAGGAUAUGUUUUCUUGCUCAAUAAUGGAGUUGUAUCAUAAAAUAGUAAGAAACAAUCAUAUAUAGCUCAUCUACUAUGGAAGUUGAGUUCAUGGCAUUUUUAGCCGCUAUGUAAGAAGCUAUAUUGGUUAAAGUGUUUCCUAGUACAUUUGGGAGUAUAUGAUAAUGUUGUUGAAUCGUGAAGGUUAAUUAUAAUAGUCAAGCUAUAAUCACCUACACAAAGGAUUCUAGGUAUCAUGGAAAAAUUAAGUAUAUUGAUAUAAAAUAUAAUUUUAUAAGGGACAUGGUUACUAAUAAAAAAGUGAAUAUGAAGUAUAUAUUUAUGCAUGAUAUGACUUUGAUCCCUUUACAAAUAGGAGCAUAAACGAACUAAAUUGUUCGUGAGCUAUUCGAGACUUGUUUUAAUAAAAACUCGAUUGGAUUCGGCUCAUUUUUAAAUGAGUAGAGCUUGAGUUUAAUUUUUAGGCUCGUUAAGUAAACGAGUUGAGCUUGAGCUCCACAAUAUUCGACUCAUUAAGCUUCGUGAGCUCAACUUGUUUCUAAAUUUCCGAGCAAACUCGCGAAUAAACUCGUUAAAUAAACUCGUGAAUAUGUUUAAUAAUAGGCUCUUAUUUAUAAAACUCAUCAACUGACUCAUUUUUCUAAGUUUUUUAUAUUAUUUUUAUAUUUUAUAAAUUUGUAGUUAUAUUUAUUUAAAUUUUAUUUUUAAAAAAUAAUAUAUUAUUUAAAAUUAUAAUAUAAUCACUAUAAAAUAAUAUAUUUAUAAAAUAUAAUUAUUUAUAAUUGAUGCGGAACCCCAGUCUAUUAAAGACUGAAACGACACAUAUCCUAGUAAAAGGAACUUAGUUCAGAAAAAUAAUUCCCCAAUCUAAAGCACCCUUAAUUAACAUGCAAUUAAGAACACUUAUAAUUGAUUGAUUUUAAGAGCAGUAAGAAUAACAACCAUACAAGUUAGUAUCAAACCUUAUUCGUGAUGCCAUGUCAAGAACCAAGAUCUCUCUUAAACUCUCAAAGAAGAAUUGCAUAAAGCAAUUGUAUUGAAUAAUUGAUAAUCUUUGUACAAUAUGGAAAAAGAUAUGCUUUAUAUAACCUAAAUAAAGACACAUGAUCUUUGCCACUCUCUACCACUAUGCAUUGACCCGUGAUCUAUGCCACUACCCAAUACUCUGCAUGGAUCCAUGAUCUAUGUCACUAUUCACUACUGGAUAACUACCCACUACUGGUUAACUACCAACUGCUAAAUAACUACCACUUCUAAAUAACUACCCACUAUAACUACAAAAUUUGAAUUGUCAAUAAGGACACAUUUGGCUUAAUUGACUUGGAAUGACCAGAUUGUUCAGCUUCAACAUAUUUCUUCAUGAAUCCUUGAAGUGUUUCCUUCAACCUCUUCGAUCUCAACCUUGUAAUUGGUCCUUGAGGCAAUGCUAGCUCAUCAUUUUUGGUGUUGUUGGUUGUGCUUACAUCAAUAAUUUAAAUCUAAAUUGUAAUAUGAAAACAACUUAAUAUUAUUAUGAUAUAAAAAUAAAUAAAUUUAGAGUCUUAUUCUUAAAAUAAAAUAAUAAUUGAUAUGUAAUGUUAUAAAUACUCUUUCAAUCAUGAUGUAAGUAAUAUAUGGUGAUAAAUACUAUCAAUUUUUAAUAUAUAUUUAUAUUAUUUUUAUAUUUUUUCAAUGUUAAACUUCAAAAGUUAAAGUUAUAAUAAACUAUAUAAUUACUACUAUUAUUAUAUAUAUCCCUUUUCCUUUUUUUUGAAAAAAUUUCAAUGAACUUUAAUUUUGAAGAGAUUAGAAGUCAAGUUUUAUUUAAUUUAGUUUUUAAAUAUUAAAUAAUAAAUUGUUUUUCAAUGUAUAACACAUUUAUUUAGAAUGCCUUAAAAUCAUUUAGUAAUAUAAAUUUGAAUUAAGAUAUUUUAAAAAAGAAAAAAAUUGUAUUUAAUUAAAAUUUCUUAAAAUCAUAAGAUGCUCUUACAAUUAAAUAUUUUCUAAGAAAAACCAUAUUAAAAAGAAAAAUAUUAAUAAAUGUUAAAUAAAAUACACUUUUAUUGAUAAAUUAUAAAAUUUUAACAAUUUUAAUUAUAUAUAACAUAUUAAGAGAAAAUUACUGAUAUAAAAUAAACUAAAUAAAUACUCUUAAAAAAAAAAAAAAAGAAAAGCAAAGACAACAAAAAUAAAAAAUAUGGAACAAUCCAAUCCCAAACCGGAAGAAGAGAAGGAAGGAGAGGUUCUCCUUCCCUAUAAAAACGAAAGCCCCUUUCGCUCUGUAUCAUUAUUACAUAUUUUAUGAUAUGUUGUGGGAUCCAUAGUAAUUGUGGGUCUCAAGAGAGUUUAAAAUAUUUUAAUUAUAGUAAAAAAUAUAUUUAGUUAUAUCCAUUUUUAGUGACAUUUGAGUUUGAGUUUAUAAUUCGAGCUCGAGCUUUCUAAUCAAGUUCAAAUACGAGUUUAUUAUGAACCGAGCUCAAAUCGAGUUCGAAUUCGUUUAAUAUUUUAUGAGUCGAGCUCGAGUUUGAGUUUUAAAAUUUUUUUUAAUAAAUGAGCCUGACCUUUUUAAAACUUGACUCGGUUCGAUUCGAUUACACCCCGAUUUACAAAGCCUAUUGCUAAGGAUAUUCUCAAUAAAUACAUUAAGUCAUUAGGUUUGUGUAGACGUACUUGCAUUAUGUAUUUUCUCUAACAUAUUUAUGUAAAUUACAUUAUCAAUAAGAAUGAUAUUUUUGCUUAAUUAUUUUGUGAAUUCAUGUACAUACUAGUAUAUAUGUUUUAGAAUAUAUAUUGAGAUUUGAAAUAGUAUGUCAGACAGAUAAAAGAUUGGCCUUUUAACACAAGAAACCUUCUUAAUUAUCCAAAUGAUUAAUAAAGGAAAGAUAAUUAUAAACUUAUUAUAAUCGAUCAUAAUGAUAUAGAGAGCUUAAAAGUUUAUAAUAUUAAUGUCGUCUAUCGAAAAGAAUUUAAUCAUAUAUGAUUAAGUUAACUAAUAUGCUUUAAAUGCUAAAUUUGAGUUCAAUUAAGUGUGAUUCUGAGUAGAUAUAUGAACUCAAAAUUAAAUAUUGGAUAUCUUAACUAUCAUGUGCAGAAUAUUAAAUACUAUAAAGACAUAUACUUCGUGAGAAAAGGAGUAAUAUUUGAUUCAUACCACAUAUGCGAUAAAUGUCCAAUUAAAGCAAUACAAGUUAAAUCUCUACUUGAUAUUGUAUAAAGUCUUAAAGGUUAUAAGUAAUCUAUAUCUUGUAACCUCAUGACUCCAAUCAAUUACUCAAGUUUUAUUUUAAUAUUUGUUAUCUUAGAUUGUUUCCAAAGGAUUAUGUAUGAUUCAAUCUGAUAAAAUAUUUUUAGAAAAACAUAUAAAGUUAAAAUUAAAAGAAUCAUGAGAAAAGGGAGAUUAUUAUAGUUUAUCACAUUAUUUGUAUUCAUUGAUCGAUAAAUUAUGUUUUAAUUGGAAUGAAAAAUAAUUAUAAACUCAAAUUAUUAUAAAAAGAGGUUGUGAAUAAUCUAGGGUACUGUAUAUUGUAUCUAUUCUAAGCUCCAUGUAGCGAGAUGCUAUAUUAUUCUAACAGAUGUAUAACAAUUGAGCUUUCCAAGUAUGCACUAGUCACAUAAUCUAUUUGUAAAGUAUAAAAAUUGCUCAAAUUUUGAAAUGAGAGUUGUCCCAUAAUGUAUGAGUAGGAGAUGAAAGAAUUUAAGUCUGAGUUACACAUGGGGUCAACUUGAAUUCAUUUAGUAAAUAAUAAAAAAAAAGACGUUAAGUAGAAGUUAACAAUAAAAAGAGGUAUCUUCUUCUUUUUCUUCAUAAGACAUACAUAAUUAAAGGGAAAAAAAAGGAAAAAGUGGUUCCUUUUAUAUUGUUUGUUUCUUACACAUAUAUCACAAGAGAUAUAUAAGAAAAAGAAAGAAGUAGAAGAGGAAGCAUUGAUGCAUUCUUCACACUCAAAACUCUCAACAUUUUGAACGACUAUUUUCUGCAAUUAUAAGGUACAUUGGAUUAUGAUUACGUGAUUUUAAUUCACGUUUUAAACAUGUGAUUGACAUUUAGAGUAUGUAAAAUAAAUGGAGAUAGAAUCCUUAGCGUUAUACAUGGUUUAUGGGUAAGAAACCAUGAAUUUUUUUUAAUUUUUCUUUAUUGGGAUUAGAGCCCUAAUAUUUAUUUUUCUGGUCUUCUGUAUGAGUUUAAUAUGUUAUAAUAUUUAUUUUGAAUUAAUAUAUUUUCAAAUUUUUUUAGUAAAAAGAUUUCAAUUUAUGAUAAUAUGAUUGGAUGCAUUAUUUUAACCUUUAGUAUCUCUCUAAAUGAUUAGUAUUAUUGAAACAACAUGUCAUUUUAAAUAAAAUAAUGUAUCGUUCAUCUAAAAUAACAUGUCAGUUGACUUGAAAUAACAUAAAUUUUCAAAUGAAGUGACGUGUUAUUUCAUUCAAAAAGAUGUAUCAUUUCAACUAAAAAGAAAAAUUUUUUAAAAUGAAAAGACAUGUCUUCUCAACCAAAAAGAUAUAUCAUUUCAACUAAAAAUACAUGUUUUUUAAAUAAAAAUAGCGUCCUUUCAAAUUGAAAAGUUGUACCCUUUCAACAAAAAAUAUGUUUUUAGCUAAAGUGACACAUUAUUUAUUCCUCACAUGAGUGUUAUAUAUGUAUGGAUAUAUAUCCUCACCCACAUGCAUUUGAGUAGUAUAAGGGCAUAUGCCACGGUUCUAAAUUUUUUUUUAUAGUGAAAGAAUUUUUAAAUAUUUUUAGUGACCUUAGUAAAAUUUUAGACACUUUAUAUUUUUAUAUUAUUUAUUUUUUGAAAAUAAAUUAAUUUUUAUUGUAAAAAAUUAUAUAAAUUGUCUAAAAUUUAUUUUAACUAUUUUUGUCACAUUCCAAAAUCCAAGGAUAGAAACAGAGAAACUAUUAGAGUUAAAUUGUACCAUUAUAAAGUUAGGGUAAUUAGUUUCAGUGAAGGUGCUAGCUUAUCCCCAAAUUAAUUAGAGAAUGUGCUAACUUAAACCCAAGCUAAUUGAGGGAGGUGCUAGCUUAUCCAUAACUGCUUGACACACAAUUUGUCUAUAGGUAGAGCACUAAAAGUUGUAUUUAAAGGUCCUACUUGCAUUUCAUAUAGAGUUAUAUGUGCAAAAACAGAGUUAAAAUAAGAAUGACUAGUAAUAAUACUUUAAUAUCUUUAAACUGUAAUAACUGAAUCAUAAAAAGUCCAAAUAAGAAAAUGAACAUAUCUUAAAAUAAAACAGAUAAUGUGAUAAGCAAGUCGGAAUCAAAUCAUUUUUGGGAGGUGCUUAAGGGUUUUCAUACAUAUUAACUUGAGGUGCUGGUUAAAAUCGAUGUACUUAUCUAUAUAAAAUGGAUUCUAAAGGUUAGAAGUGUAACUUUAGUAGGUCAAUCAAUGAAUAUUGAAAGUUUAAAAAUUAAAUUAAAACAUGAAGAAAAGUUUAGUAGGUUAAGGUGUGAAUAUGGAAAGUUUAAAAGUAAAUUUCAAAUUUAGUCCUCUAUUUUUUCCACAUCUUCACAUAAAUCCUCCAUGUGUCACCUAGCUAUGCAUGAAAGAAAUGACUAAGCUAAAAGAAUAAGGUGGUCUUCAAUUCCUUCAUGGCAGUCGAACCUACACCAUGAGAAAGAAAAAAUUAAUUUUUCUUCUUUUUUCCAUUCCCACCUUAUUUCUCCAUGAAGACAAUCCAUGCAAAAUCCCUUCCUAAGUGAAAUAACUAGCAAAGGAACCAUAGAAAAAGAUGAAAGAAUGAGAUAAGUUUAGGUGCUUAAGUGGUAAGUAAUAGAAAUUGAAAAUUAGAUAAGGUAAACAUGUUCUUCCAUACUUUCAAUCAAUUUUUAUGUUGUUAAAUGAAUUAAAACUCUUUUUUUUUUUCUUGUUCCUUGUAAAGAAAUAUUUCAAAAGGAGGAAAGUACAUCAAACGAGUUUUUGAGAGAAAAGAACCAAGGCAGAAAAGCCAGGUUCGGCCGCCGAACAUGCAUGGCUUUCGGUUUCACGUGUGGCCGCCGAAGGUGGUCUGGCCAGCCACCUAUAAAAGGCCCUCAGUCGGUUGAAAGGAUAAGGAUCGCCUGUUUCUUUCACUUUCUAAGGUGAGACCCUGUCCUUCUUGAGUAUUCUUCAUGUUUUCAUCAAAUCUUGCAAAGGUUUGAUUGAUUUUUAUGUUCUUUUGAAGGUUUUGAGCUAAAAACAUUAAGUUUUGAAGUUUGGAGAGUUUGAAGGAGAGUUGCUCCAUAUCUCCACGUUAGGAUCGUUCCUCUUCUUGAUUUCAAGAGGUAAGUGAAGAUCCUGAACUUAUUUUUAUGAUUCAUGAAGGUUUUAUGAGGUUUUGGGGGAGAGUUGCAUGAAUAGGGUAAAGAGUGAGUUUUUGAUGUUUUUGUGAGUUAAGCUUGUACAUGUGUUAUGUGUUUUGUUUUGUUGGGGUUUUAAGGUAGUUUUUGACCCCUUUGAGCAUAUGCUUAGGUGUAUGCAUGUUGAGAAAUUGAGGUGUUUGAGUUUGGGAGAGUUUGGUGCAAUUUGGCGUGAGGCAGAACAGGUUCUGCCUUCUUGAUGAACCCAGCUUCGGCCGCCGAAGAAUGGUUCGGCCGCCGAAUGUGUUGAGGAGGUGGCUUCGGUUGCCUAAUCUUGCCCCCGAGCCUUUGGACUUUUGGCUCUGGAGGGGAGUUUCGGCCGUCGAAGGUGCCGCCGAAGGUUAGGGACUUUCGUCUCUGGCGUGCCUUUCAGCCCCCGAAACUUUCCCCCGAAAGGGUUCGGCUGCCGAAAGUAGAGAUUCAGCCGCCGAAGGUGCAUGAGUUUCGGCUCUGGAGAGGACUUUCGGCCGCCGAACCUACCGCCGAAAGUGCCCUGUCCAGCCUUCCUUUGCCUGUUUUGCAUGAUUGAUUAAAGGUGUCUAAGGGGAUUCUUGGGGAGUUUUAUAGAGAUAUUCUCGAGCUAGUUUGGUCCCUCAUUUGAGUCCAUCUGUGUAGGCACAGACCAGAGGAACCAAAGAGAGCAACAGUGAGUCAGUCCAGAGAUAGCCAGAGGUGAGUGAAACUAAACUUAAUUCUUUUAAUUGAGAAAUUGAAUGCUUUUAGCAUAUUUCAUGCAUCAUGAUUAUGCAAUAGGUUAAUUGCAUUUAGAAUCCACGAAUAUGUUGCAUUGCAUACUUAUUUGCUGAUGUGGGUGAAUGCUGAAUGAUCCAAUAGUUCCAGACAGGAAGUCCAGGUGCCCAGUCUACGCCCUGGCAGGUAUAGUAAAGUCCAGGUGCCCAGUCUACGCCCUGGCAGGUAUAGAAAGACCAGGUGCCCAGUCUACGCCCUGGCAAAUGGUAAGUACAGGUGUUAUAUACACGUAUACAUAUACAGUACAGGAAGACCAGGACCCCAUUCUACGGCCUGGCACGGAACAGAUACUGGAACUAUGUGGUGACGGGUUUACCCUUGAUGUGAAUUGUCUGUGAUAUGAUGCAUUCCAUAAGAUCAUGUUUUAAUGACUUGUUUUCUUGUUCUACUCACUGGGCUAUAGAGCUCAUCCCACUCCCUUAACCCCAGUUUUGCAGGAUCAGUGUACAGGGAAAGUCCAGCAGGGUACAGGAAGAAAACAGAGUUGUGUAAUAAAAGAGUGUGGACAUGUAAUAUUAAAGAGAUGUACUAGUUGUUGUGCUUGACUUAGUUAAUUUGUAUUGUAAAUCCUUUUGUACACAUGGUCUGUUUUUAUGUAUCUGUCCAGUUGAUGAGUAUGGAUGACCAGGUUUAACAUAUACUGUGUGAACUCAGCCAGAGUUUUGAUGCGUACUCUGGUAAGGGAGUCUGUGUACAGAGAUAGUGCAUGCACAGGUUGAGCCUUGGAUCAGAGAAAAGUUUUUAUUUUCACAGAAAGUGUAAGAUCAUAUAUGGGAUUUACAGGUACACAGGGAGUAUAUCAGGCUUGCUACGGGUUUCGGUGACCUUAAGUCGACCUGAAUCCUAGCGCCGGUGGCGGUUCGAUUUUCGGGUCGUUAUAGAUUGGUAUCAGAGCCCAAGGUUCAAAUGAUCGGACCUAUAGAGAGAGUUUCGGGCUCAUAGAGGUUAGACGUGGUCAAGCACAAUAGGAAAUCAUGUCCACUAGGAUAGGGUGUUGAGUCCUAUCUGUUUGCUGAUAUGAAAUGCCAUGAUUUAUGCAUGUGCAUUAUUGAUAUGUGAUGUUUAUAUGCUAAUGUGUUAUGUUAUGUGUUUGUUUUACAGAGAUAAGAUGAGAGGAACUCGUCGAUCUGCACGAUUGACUGGAGUCCCACCAGAUAGUGAGAGAAUAGAUGCUCGUCCUCCUGCAUUGCCAAGGGCAAGGUCUCAGAGAUCUAGCAGGGAAGGUAUGUCAAUGGACCCUAGAAGGUCUUUAGACGAGAGCAGAAGAGGAACAGCUAGAGGAGGGAGAUCAGAGGAAGUGAGGGAGGCCAUGAGGUUGAUCAGUCAGUAGAUGAAAGCAUGGGUGUAGGCAGAUCGGAAGAAGGUAUGGGAGAGUCUCUGAGAGGAGCUCAGGCCUCGGGGUUUGGUUAUCCAGCCUUUCCUCAUGACCCAGGGUAUCUGAUGGGAGGUGUGUCGGAGUACUCUAGUUUUGUCCUAUAUCCUACUUACAUGCCAUAUAUGCCUUAUCCUCAUUAUUACCCACCAUAUCCUAUGUAUCCACCCUCACCUAUUGUAAUACUCGGCUAGAGUCCAGCAUCGGAAUUCCUGUCGUUCGGUGGAAUCUAGGAUGUCGAAAUUCUCUAGACGGGUAGGAUUUAUGAUUUUCUAAAGUAAUGUAGUAUGUUUUUUUUUUAUGUUUUAACGUUAAAUGGAACUAAGCGUUUGAAAGAAAAGCAACAAGGAAGAAAAGCCAGGUUCGGCCGCCGAAGGGAAAGUUUGGCCGCCGAACAUGCAUGGCUUUCGGUUUCACGUUAGGCCGCCGAAGGUGGUCUGGCCAGCCACCUAUAAAGGCCCUCAAGCGGUGGAAGGAUAAGUAUUCACUUUUCUUUCACUUUUCAGAGGUGAGACCAUCUCUUUCUUGGAGUUUCUCAUGUUUUCAUCAAUCUUGCCAAGUUUUGAUUGGUUUUAAUGUUAUUUUGAAGGUUUUGAGCUAAAAACCCAAGAUUUGGAAGUUUGGAGAGUUUGAAGGAGAGUUGCUCCGAAACUCCACGUUAGGAUCAUUCAUCUUCUUGGUUUUAAGAGGUAAGUGAAGAUCCUGAACUUGUGUUUAUGAUUUAUGAAGGUUUUAUGAGGUUUUGGGAGAGAGUUGCAUGAAUAGGGUAAAAAGUGAGUUUUUAGUGUUUUGUUGAUAAAAGCAUGUUCAUGUGUUAUGUGUUUUGUUUUGUUGGGGUUUUAAGGUCGUUUUUGACCCCUUUGAGCAUAUGCUUAGGUGUAUGCGUGUUGAGGAAUUGAGGUGUUUGAGUUGGGGAGAGUUUGGUACAUUGUGGCGUGAGGCAGAGCAAGGUUCUGCCUUGCUGAUGAACCCAGCUUCGGCCGCCGAAGAAUGGUUCGGCCGUCAAAUGUGCUGAGGAGGUGACUUUGGUUGCCUAAGCUUGCCCCCGAGCCUUUGGACUUUCGGCUCUGGAGUGAGUUUCGGCCGCCGAAGGUGCCGCCGAAAGUUAGAGACUUUCGUCUCUGGAGUGCCUUUCAGCCCCCGAAACUGGCCCCCCGAAAGGGUUCGGCGGCCGAAAGUAGAGAUUCGGCCGCCGAAGGUGCUUAAGUUUCGGCUUUGGAGAGGACAUUCGGCCACCGAACCUGCCGCCGAAAGUGUUCUGUCCAGCCUUCCUUUGCAUGCUUUGCAUGGAUGUUUGAGUGAGUUUAAGGGGAUUCUUGGGGAGUUUAAUAGAGAUGUUCUUGAGCUCGUUUGGUCCCUCAUUUGAGUCCACCUGUGUAGGCACAGACCAGAGGAACCAGAGAGAGCAGCAGUGAGUACUGCUCCAGAGUGUACAGAGCCUGCAGAGUCAGUCCAGAUAGCCAGAGGUGAGUGGAACUAAACUUAAUACUCGUUUUAAUUGAGACAUUGAAUGUUUUUAGCAUAUUUCAUGCACCAUGAUUAUGCAAUAGGUUGAUUGCAUUAGAAUCCACAAAGAUGUUGCAUUGCAUACUUAUUUGUUGAUGUGGGUGAAUCCUGAAUGAUCUAAUAGUUCCAGACAGGAAGUCCAGGUGCCCAGUCUACGCCCUGGCAGGUAUAGUAAAGUCCAGGUGCCCAGUCUACGCCCUGCAGGUAUAGUAAAGACCAGGUGCC